rnacentral:rRNA from 1 species
CUAGGCCAGUAGUUUUGUUAAAAAAAUUUGAAUAGUUUGGAAAUGCUAACCAUAGAGGGUGAUAGUCCCGUAUGAGUAAUGUUUAACAAAAUUCUUGAGUAAAGCGGGACACGAGAAAUCCUGCUCGAAUAUAGGGGGACCACCCUCUAAGCCUAAAUACUCUUCAGUGACCGAUAGUGAACUAGUACCGCGAGGGAAAGGUGAAAAGAACCCCUAUUAGGGGAGUGAAAUAGAACCUGAAACCGCAUGCCUACAAUCAGUCCGAGCCCUUUUUAGGGUGAGGGCGUACCUUUUGUAUAAUGGGUCAGUGACUUAAUUUAUUAAGCAAGCUUAAGCCAUCUAGGUGUAGGCGCAGCGAAAGCAAGUCUUAAUAGGGCGAUUAGUUUAAUGAAUUAGACCCGAAAACGAAUGAGCUUACCAUGAGCAGGUUGAAAGUUGGGUAACACCAACCGGAGGACCGAACCAGUUGACGUUGAAAAGUCUUUGGAUGACUUGUGGUAAGGGGUGAAAGGCCAACCAAAUUCGUAGAUAGCUGGUUUUCCGCGAAAACUAUUUAGGUAGUGCGUUGAAUAAAUAGAUGUUUAGAGGUAGAGCACUAAAUGGGCUAGGGGGAAGAGAUUCUUACCAAACCUAAUAAAACUCCGAAUGCUGAACAUUGUUCUUCAACAGACAGACUGUGGGUGCUAAGGUCCAUGGUCGAGAGGGAAAGAGCCCAGACCACCAGAUAAGGUCCCAAAAUCAUGAUUAAGUGUGAAAGGAUGUGGAAAUUCCUUAACAGCCGGGAGGUUGGCUUAGAAGCAGCCAUCCUUUAAAGAUAGCGUAACAGCUCACCGGUCUAAUAGAGUUUCUGCGCCGAAGAUGUAACGGGGCUAAAAUCAUGUACCGAAUCUGUGGCUUUGCAAAGUUUUCGAACUUUGUAAGGGGUAGCGGAACGUUCUGUAAGCCUGUGAAGGAAUACCCGUGAGGGAUUCUGGAGGUAUCAGAAGUGCGAAUGCUGACAUAAGUAACGAUAAACGAAGUGAAAAACUUCGUCGCCGAAAAUCUAAGGGUUUCUAUGCAAGGUUAAUCCGCGUAGAGUUAGUCGGCACCUAAGGCGAGGGCGAAAGCCGUAGUCGAUGGAAACAAGGUUAAUAUUCCUUGACCAGAUGGUAGUGACGGAUUUUGUAAGUUGUGAGUUCUUAUUGGAUUGAACUUGCUGCGAAAAAGUCCCAAGAAAUAGCUCCAUCAUUAGACCGUACCCGAAACCGACACAGGUAGAUUAAUAGAGUAUAUUUAGGCGCUUGAGAGAAUGAUGUUGAAGGAACUCGGCAAAAUGCUUCCGUAACUUCGGGAUAAGGAAGACCUUUUUGUAGGCAACUAUAGAAGGGUGGCACAAGCCAGGGAGAAGCGACUGUUUAUCAAAAACACAGGGCUCUGCUAACACGUAAGUGGAUGUAUAGGGUCUGACGCCUGCCCGGUGCUGGAAGGUUAAUGCGGUUGGUGCAAGCUAACUUCUGAAGCCCCAGUAAACGGCGGCCGUAACUAUAACGGUCCUAAGGUAGCGAAAUUCCUUGUCGGGU